CUGGACAGAUGGGUUAGUAUUAUAGGUGUGGUACUAGACAGAUGGGUUAUGGGUAGUAUUAUAGGUGUGGUACUGGACAGAUGGGUUAGUAUUAUAGGUGUGGUACUGGACAGAUGGGUUAGUAUUAUAGGUGUGGUACAAGACAGAUGGUUUAUGGGUAGUCUUAUAAGUGUGGUACUGGACAGAUGGGUUAGUAUUAUAGGUGUGGUACUGGACAGAUGGGUUAGUAUUAUAGGUGUGGUAGUAGACAGAUGUGUUAUGGGUAGUAUUAUAGGUGGGGUACUAGACAGAUGUGUUAUGGGUAGUAUUAUAGGUGUGGUACUAGACAGAUGGGAUAGUAUUAUAGGUGUGGUACUAGACAGAUGGAUUAGUAUUAUAGGUGUGGUACUGGACAGAUAGGUUAUGGGUAGUAUUAUAGGUGUGGUACUGGACAGAUGGGUUAGUAUUAUAGGUGUGUUACUAGACAGAUGGGUUAGUAUUAUAGGUGUGGUACUAGACAGAUGGGUUAGUAUUAUAGGUGUGGUACUGGACAGAUGGGUUAUGGGUAGUAUUAUAGGUGUGGAACUAGACAGAUGGGUUAGUAUUAUAGGUGUGGUACUGGACAGAUGGGUUAGUAUUAUAGGUGUGGUACUAGACAGAUGGGUUAUGGGUAGUAUUAUA
rnacentral:lncRNA from 1 species